rnacentral:rRNA from 1 species
UACGGGGGGGGCAAGCGUUGUUCGGAAUUACUGGGCGUAAAGGGCUCGUAGGCGGCCCUCUCAGUCGGAUGUGAAAUCCCCAGGCUCAACUUGGGAACGGCAUCCGAUACUGGAGGGCUUGAAUUCGGGAGAGGGAUGCAGAAUUCCAGGUGUAGCGGUGAAAUGCGCAGAUAUCGGGAAGAACACCCGUGGCGAAGGCGGCUCUCUGGGACGGUACUGACGCUGAGACGCGAAAGCGUGGGGAGCGAACAGG